rnacentral:rRNA from 1 species
UACCAGCACCCCGAGUGGUCGGGACGAUUAUUGGGCCUAAAGCAUCCGUAGCCGGUUCUACAAGUCUUCCGUUAAAUCCACCUGCUUAACAGAUGGGCUGCGGAGGAUACUAUGGAGCUAGGAGGCGGGAGAGGCAAGCGGUACUUAGUGGGUAGGGGUAAAAUCCGUUGAUCCAUUGAAGACCACCAGUGGCGAAGGCGGCUUGCCAGAACGCACUCGACGGUGGGGGAUGAAAGCUGGGGGAGCAAACCGG